GAAGAAUCAUGCAUGACGAAAUCAUAAAAUCCACCGAUAGUUUUAAUGUUGUAUAUUGCAUUGGGAAGGGAGGAUAUGGCAGCGUCUACAAAGCAAAUUUGCCAUCAGGAAGCACAGUAGCGGUGAAGAAGCUCCACCAUUAUCGUGACAGCGAGAGGACAUGUCAAAAGGAAUUCUUGAACGAGAUAAGGGCAUUAACUGAGAUAAGGCAUCGGAACAUAGUAAAACUUUAUGGCUUUUGUUCAUAUGCUCAACUCUCAUUUCUGGUCUAUGAGUACUUGGAUGGCGGUAACUUGGCCACAAUCUUGGGCGAUGACAAAGAAGCUAAAGAAUUGGAUUGGAGCAAGAGAGUAAAUAUUGUUAAAGCUGUUGCCAGUGCCUUGUUUUACAUGCACCACAAUUGCUCACCGCCAAUUGUUCAUCGAGACAUAACAAGCAAAAAUAUUUUGCUUGAUUCUGAAUAUGAGGCCCACUUAUCAGAUUUUGGGACUGCCAAGCGUCUAAAUACUGAUUCAUCCCAUUGGACUACACUAGCAGGCACAUACGGAUAUGUUGCACCAGAGCUUGCUUACACAAUGAAGGUGACUGAAAAAUGUGACGUGUAUAGUUUUGGAAUAGUAGCAUUAGAAGUAAUCAAAGGAAAACAUCCAGGUGAAAUCAUCAUCUCUAUGUCAUCCCCUUCAGCUCAGAAGCUAGUCCUGGAAGAUAUUCUAGACCAACGCCUUCCAACUCCUUCCCCUCAAGUUCAAGAUGAGCUAAUGAUAAUUAUGAAGGUUGCGAUUGCAUGUUUAAACAUCAAUCCACAAUCUCGACCAACUAUGCAUAUGAUUUCUCAGCUUUUAGCAGCUCAAACUCCACUUUUCUAGAUUCAUUAGGUUAAUAAUUCAGCGAUUGAGUGAUUACCUUAUAUAUAGUAGAUUCAGGGUUUAAAUUUAAGUAUCUCCUUCCUCCUUUAGGAAAUUAUCAAAAAAAAAAAA
rnacentral:misc_RNA from 1 species